CAAGGUCAGUGGACUGAUUCCUCUGUGGGGGAGGAUGGGGUCCCAAUAGAGGAGCCUCCUCCCCACACGAGCAUUUUGAGUAUGCAGCACACAGUGGCUCAGCCUGGAGCUGGCAGUUAGUGCGCGCACACACACGCACACACAGCAGCGCUUUCCUCUCCAGUGGGGCGGCGUUAGUAACUGCAGUCCCAGCAUCCUAGGUUGAGGCACCAGCUGCCACUGGCUGAUUUGUUGAAGGAGCGCUGGAUCCGUUUCGGAGGACCUGGUGACUGCGCUGCUGUCACAGCUAGUGGCGGACAGCUACUUCUUCCCCGUUGCUUCCUCAGCCCCUUGCAAGAGGGCAGCCUCUUCCAAAAGCCAGGCAGCCAGGGAAGAGGCUGCUCUGUGCUGAAGGUAAGACUGCUGCCUAGUCACUCUCCUAACGUGCCAGCGACCUCACCAUCUGCUUUCAGGUUGACUGGGCUCAGCUGGGAAGUUCUGUUUUUGCGGUGUUGGCUGGAGCUGUAGUCACCUGGGAGACCCACUCACAGCGCUGACCAUUGGUGCUGGAUGUCACGUGGGGCAGUUCACUAAAGCACCCCCUCCUCUUCUCUCCUCUCCUCGGCGUGACCUUCCCACAAGGUUCCAGCUUUAUACAUCAUGGAAGCCCAUCAUGCAAGAGGAAUUUAAAAGUGUCAUUUUUGUUUGGAGUUGAGUGCUAAAAUGUAAGCUGACUGAUCACCCCAGGUAGCCGUCUCACAGCGUCCAUCUAUUGAUUCUCCCUGCAUGAGGUGAAGAAGAAACCAUCGGAUCAGAUAAAUCACAUCUUCACUGGACUCACUGGACUGAAAGACAAAGUUGAAUAAGAAGCUGUCUUUCUGAAGGAGUGAAGAAUUGGUUGGGACGUUUGAUCUUUUCUUUCAUUAAAAGGUAAGGGCAAUAUUGCAAGUGACAAUUCUUUGGGAUCUGAAAUUUUUGGUCAUUUUUUAUUUUAAUUUCUCUCUAUACCCUUUGUUAGAACAUGUUAUAAUUGGCUUCCCAUAAAGCACUGAGAAAACUUUCACAUUGUGUUGUAUUCUGGUAUUUUAAAAGGGAAAAUGUCAAGAGAAGAAAAUGAAAUCUCUCUCUUUGGGCAUCAGCACUGGUCAACGAAUAUUAUGCUGUUUGUGCUGAGUCUUGGCCAGGCUUCAGAGAGAAGCCUGUGAUGUGCUCAGUCAUGGAGAAAGGGUCUAUGUUUGACUUGAUGGGUACAGGUUAAAGGACCACCAGUCUUCAUCCAGAGGGAUUUGGCAACUGGUGUUUGGUCUGGACAAGCUUUGACGGUAAGGGAGUCUGAUCUGAGGUGUAGACCAUUUUUUUAAUAGCAUUACCCUAAGUGGCAGCAUCUGAUCUUUAGCUGACAGUUUGAAGGUGAGGAAUAGAAACUGUGAACUCCAGGGAAGCAGGUCAAGUGUAAGUGAAGGACUCUGAUCCUGAAGAAAGAAAUUAGAACAAUCGUAGAUCAAAAAACAAGCUCAGUCUUGUGUCUGCUGUGAACAACAAGGCAGGCACAGGAGGGAUGCUUAGUAGAUGAGCUCCCUAAACUCAUCCCAGGGAUGUGUAUCGAUCACAGGAUAGAAAACUAAUUCUAAAUCCCAUUUUCUUGGGAGCCCUGAAGCAACUAACACACUCCACUUAGUGAUUUGUAGUGUUGAGCAAGUUAAUUUUCUCAGUGUCCGAUGUCUUUGUCUGUAAAACAGGAUGGGUGAGAAUAGCACCUAACUCACAGACCUGGGUGCUGGGCAAACAAGGCCAGGCAAGGCCAUUACUCCUCUCAGUGGCCACACUGAGUACCUGGGGCAAGAUUGCUUUCAUUUAGUCAUGUGCAUUUUGAUUGCAAAAUACUGCUUGGAAACAGUGCUAUGGAAUGACAUACGGUAUAUAGAAUCAAUUAAAUUGAUCACUCAUCACAUCAGUUUUUUCUUUUCACACAUACAUUUCUGAAAUGCCAAAUCCACCAUCAGUCCUCCAGGAUAGUGGUAUAAUGGUAUGGUUUUGUUUUCAAAGAGUUGCUUCUUAUUUAGGUUGCAUGAGUGUCAAGUUUGGGCCUUACAUUUUUGGUUUGCUGUAGGUUGGUUUAGGACCUCUUUACUCUCAUCAGCAACUUCCAUUCAGAAAAGAAAUGCCAUCAAGUGAAUCUGGAUCUGCCAUCAAUGAGCUACUAUUUAUGGGCGUGUGAAAUUAAUAGCCCAAGUGUAUUUCUAAGUGUUUGUGCUAACUAACUAUAUGGCCAACUUGAACAAAUAUGUGAAUACAGUUCUUUGAGCUUCUGUGUGUUCUGAUCCUUAGAAAGUAGAUAGGUAUUCUCAAACCACCUUUGUGGGUGAAGAGUAAGCUCCUAAAAUUCACCAAGGCUGGAGUUACAUUGCUUCUUGAAAAUAUAGGAAAGCCCACAGGUGUCUAAAUAAUUCACUAAAAUGGAGCUGAGCUGAUUGGUUCUAGCAUCUUGAGAGGUGGUGGUGAGUAUGAAAUAAGAAAGUCUAUAUGGGCGCAUUACAAUGUGUGCAAUAUGUAUACUUAAGUUUCAGAGUUGAGGGUGUUGGGAGGUUACCCUAGGAUGGGCGUGUAAGAAUCUCCAGGUGAGCACGCGUUGUCAGGAACCAAUGCAGUGUGAUGGAUUAUUGCAUUGAUUUGCUCUAUGGCACAACUUACGGCAAAUUUAUAAAACCCUAACGGGGGGAAUGACAUUCUUUAGGUUCAUACAGAGGGUGCAUUAGAUGCGAAACUGUGGAGUAAACAUUCCUGCAGAGUCUGCCUGCAGCCCCCUCUUCUAGGCUUCAGGCAUGAGUCAGGGAACUAAACUCAGAGACAGCACGGACUGUCUUCUUCAUCUCAGUCUGCUUCUGGGACCAUGGUGCGUACUCUUUGGUGUGUAUCAUAAUCACACAGAGGGCUUGGCAGAGCCCUGGUGUGGCUCUUCACCCCUGGAAGACAUAACUAGGUCUGGGGUGGGGCCUUAAAUCGCAUUCCUUACAGGCCCCCAGGAGAUGCUGAUGCUGGACCCUAGAUGUGGGAAAUACAUUUUUAAUAGUCUUUCUCCUGCCCUUUAUCCUAACAGGCUGGAUAUGGGGUAGACAAAGAAAACUUUCUCCUUACCAGCAAAUGAAACAAACUCCUGGCAGACUUAUGUAACUCCCAUCGUUCACUUAUAGAAACAUUUCAGUUCUAGCUGCAAACCCCAAAUGGCUAGAGAUAUUAAAAAAGAGGCUUAUAGAAAUGAAGUGUAUCAUUGAAAUUCACACUAGGUGGCAGAGGCAGGAUUGAAACCCACAUCUCUUGACACCAGAUCCAGGAUUGUUUGUAAAUCACAACUUAUGCUGGGGAGUUCUGGGUUGAGUGACUCCUUAUGACCAAGAUUAUAAUGAAAACAGGAAUUUACACUAUAACUCCAUUCUAGUAUAAACAGCAGGAAGUGAAAUUAAGUUAAAGGAUGCUCAUGGCCUUUACUGUCAGUGAGAACACUGACAAAUCUAUUUCAGAGGCACUCAGUCCAAAGCUUGGACAGACUUAUCUCUCCUUCUUGUCUUUAUUUCACCUGGGCCAUCUGGCUGCAUUCUGCUUUACCAGAGACCUCUGAGUAUUUUGAGUUCUUUUUCUCUCAAAAAAAUAAAUUAAGGAACCAUAAAAGUAGAUUUUAUUGAUGAAAGUACAUUUGUAAAAAUCAUUGAAAUCAGUCAUGUUCAGAUUUACAUCUUUAUAGCCAUCAGUCUACUUGUGACCAUAUAAAAUGCUUUUCUUUCCCCAUGUACAGCAAAUAUCAAUAGCCAAGAGGAAUGAGUGGAAGCAAAUAUCCUUCUUCUUGGCUUUCUGUAAACUUCACCUUGGUUCAUGUUUUCCCACAGACUCUUCUUCAAGUUAUUGUUAUUUUUUUAGGCAAGAUAUUUUUUACUCAAGAUAAUUUAAUCACCAGGGGAAUUCUGGUGCCAGCUGUUCUAAUAACAACAUUUAUCUCACAUCUACCAUCUUGAACUUGGAACAGCAGUGGAGUGCAGUACAAGGGACUAAGACAUAAAGACCUUGGCGUUGAGUUUGGGUCUUUCACUGACUAGUUUCUGCUAAGAUGUCAUUGCUUGCAUCCUUGAACCUUUCAUAUUUAAGUUAAACUAAUUACCUUGACCCUGACCAGGGUUGGAAGUAGUUGCACUCACAUAAAAUGAUUUGUGAAUUAUAAAUGCUGUAUAAAUGGAAGACAUUAUCAACAGUUCUCAGUAAGGAAUGAAUACUUUCCUUCUCAUUAGCUCUUUCGUGCUUUCCAUCUGGACACUAUUGGCUUAUUGUCUUUUCUUUCAAACAAUCAGAAAAGGAUCGCUAGUUUACUGCUCAGGAACAGUUAAGAUUUCCUAGUGCAGGAAGCUGCUUGAUAUACAUGAACAAGCAGGGAGGCACAGACCUCCCACACUGAGGUCCAGCCAGAGGGUGGUGACUCAUCUCAUUCUUCAGAAUUCUCAUGGAGAAAAACAUAAACUCUUCCCUAUUGACUGCAAUUGAAGGAAAAUGGGAUGGGCUGUAGAGACUCUAUGAGAUUAUCCAUGUGAGGCUCUGUUACUUUAAAUUAUCAAGGCAAGUGCAAGUCUAGCAUAUGUCAGCUUCUCUGUUAAUGCCAUGCAACCCACUGGGCAAGGGGAUGGAAACUUCAUGUCCAUGAUUGAUUCGAGUUAUUGCUGCAACCCUGCAAAUUACAUAUUGUUAUUUUUACAUCAUGAGCGAAAACUAGAUUUCGGAAACAUGAGAUAGCCUACACAGAGUCACACAGGCAGUAAAUAGCCAGGUCUGGCUUUUUCCACAUCUCUGGGGCUCCACUGGUGAAAAAAACAGUAUAUUGGAAAGGUUCAGAGUGCAUACUGGGAGCAAAUUGUGUGGCUUUCAGUCCCUACUUCACAACUUAAAAGCAGCUUAUGCUUGAGUGUAUUUGACUUAUCUGUGCCUCAGUUCCCUUAGUUGCUAUAAAAAGAGAUGGUAAUAUUUUGUGGGGGUGGUAAAGAAAAAUUAUUCAAAACCUGUAAAAUGCCCAGUAUACACAAACCCUAAUUCUAAUUAGCUAUUAUUUAGCCUGUAUAGCAGUUCUGUCCCCUAAAUCUGAGUUCUCAUGAAGUUAGUCAUUUAUUCAAGAAAACUUUUCAGAACAUCUUCUAUUUUGCCAGGUACUGUGCCAGGAAAUAGAGGUCCUCCUUCUUAGAGGUGAUGUGACUAGGACUAGGUGAUAUGAUUUCACUUUCUAUUAGUUCAGAGUUUUAUGAGAGGUCAGAACAUAUUAUCAUGAGAUAAACUCUCCAACAGAGGCAUGAUGACCAAACAGUGAGGAGAAAGAGGUAGAGAUUAAAUAUACUUACAGGAAAUCUGUCAAAUCCCCAUGGAAUUGGUGCUGUUCUAAGUUGGAACUUGAAAUAUUCAUUCAAUGAGGCUGAAAGAUGGAGAAUGGAUAUCCCAAAGAGACAAAUCACAGCAAUGAAGCCACAAAAGCACACAACCACAUGGCUUAGUUCCGAGAAUUUACAAAAGGAGAAAAACAAUGAACAGAAAAAUAAAUAGAGAUGAAAGUAAAAAUGUUAGCUGUGGCACAUUGCAAACUGUGGUAAGGAAUUAAUCCCCAAAACCAUGUGAAAACUCUAGAUUGCUUUAAGCAGAGAAGUGUCACCACCAGACUUCCAUUUUCCUUUUUAGCUGUUCUUACUUUUUCCCUCUCUGUCACAUCUCUUCCCCUCUUUCCAUCACAAAGAAGAUUUAAGCAUUGAUUUAUCACAUGAGAUGCUCAUGUCAGCGUGGGUGACGUGGCUAGGGUGGCUACGGGGAGAAAUGGUAUUUGAAAUGAGUUUAGAAAAUAGAUGGUAGAACCAGCAGAUUUUUUACAUUAAUUGAAUGAAGAGUAGGGAAGAAAGUAAAAAAUGAAUAACGCCAAGAUUUUCAUGUUCUUAUGCAUGGUUAGGUAAUUGGGGGUGUCAGUUACUAGAAUAUGAAGCAUAGGAAAAGAAGUGAACUUGGGAAGGGAAGAUCUCUUUUGGAUGCGUUGCAUUUAAGAUACAUUCAGGAAAACUAUUAAGCUUUGGAAAAUGCAUUGUAAAGCAUUUUACUUUAGCUGGAAUGGCUAGGUCAGUGUUUUGCACAUGUACAAGUAACUGAACAAACAUUUGCAACAAUGAAUGGGAGAGUGAGUUAAUACUUGAAUGGAUAAACAUCUGCAUAAGUGGAUGAUUGAGUGAGAAUGAACAAAUAAACAUUUGAAAGAAUUCGUGGGCAUGCUGUUGCUAUUCCUACCAAAAAUCCUGAAACAGAUUUGAGAGCUGGUUUGUGUAUUUGCAAACACCCAUGUAUUAGUGGAACAGCCUCAGCCUACUAGAAAUAAAAACAAAACAAAAAAUCCCAACCAAAAACCUUAAACCCAGUUAUUUGUUAGACUUCAAAUGACCUUUGUUGAACACGCCUUCACAUGCUAAUCACAGCAAUCCUGUAGCCUGUCAAUCAGAAUAGACUUAGAAGACUCCAAAAAGAUCCAGAACAUUUUCCAUCUCCAUCAAUCAAAAUCAACAAGGAAACUAUCAAAACAGAACCAGGCAUAUUCAGGGAUGGCCUCUGCAGCUCUCUGAUGACUUCUUUUGUGAAGCAGCCCCUCCUUUGUCUUUCCCUUCUGUAAGCCAAUAAAAGCGUACCUGGACUUAAAACUUUCCCAGCUCAGGGUCUGAGGACUGCAGGUUGUACUCUGCUCUGACAUUUCCCUGAGCAAAUCAAAUCACCUCUACAAUCCUCAGAGAUCUUACCUUUAAGAAAAGACUGGUUAAGUAGCUACAUCAUAAUCAACCCAGGGUUUUGCUAAAAUAUUAAAAUUACAUUGAUUAAUUCCUUUUUUUCUCAUUUAUUCAUUCAAAGUUUUUGCUGAGCACCAAUGCUAGGUUUAGGGAAUACAGAAGCAAGCAAGUAAGCAAAAUCAAGUGUGGUGCUUGUCAACUAAAAAAAUGCACAGUGUGAGUUGUGAGUUAUGUUUUUGGGGGGCAAAAUAAGGACUAUAAUCAGGAGGCAGAAUUUCAGAGAGCUCUGAGAAACUACUCCAAAGAGGUAGGGGGGAAGGUCAGUAUACAUGUGAUUUUGGUGAAGGGGAGGUACAUGCAAUCAAGCACACAUUUUGCAGAAGGUUGCUACAAGUCUCCUAAAAGUUACCUAGUCAAAAGGAGCAGACAUCACCAUGAAGGAUGCUAGCGCUUUUCUAGAUAUGAGCAGAUGCAAGAAGAGGGCUCCUAAAAAUGUCUAUCUGAAGACCUGUUCUGCCAGUUUUCCCAGAGCACAGAGUGCCUCACUCCUGAUCUCAACCCCAAACUCCUUACAAGGGGUGUUGAAGGUCAGCAGCUGCAGCAGCUCAUGUUUGAAUCCUUGUAGAGGUGGGUGACAAGUGCCAAUCUCCACUUGGCAUGCCUGUCCUCACAUGGCUUAUAUAAUUUCAUGCGGAGUCCAAGUUCUUUGGGAGUAUUUCUGACAGGUAGAUGAAUGCCAUUCAUUUAACUUUGCUAUUCUCAUUGACAGAUUGCUUUGGGGCUAAAAUUUAAUCUACUCGGUAAAUUCUACUCAAUUAAUCUUAUGGUAUCUGUAGUUUAAAACCUCUGGUUGCCUGCAUGUAUACGUGUGCGAGGAUGAGAAGGAAACAGAUGCACCUGUAGUGUACACUGGGUUUGGAGCCCCUGGAUUAUUUGUGUAGUUGCUAAGGCCAUGGAUUAUGCCUAGUGUUUAGGGAACUUGGACUGCAGUAUCAGGAUAACCUGCCUGGGUUUGAAACCUGGUUCCUUUAAUUACUAGUUAUCUGGCUCUAAGGAAGUCACUUAUCCUCAGCAAAUAAGUGAAUGUUCAUGUACCUUUUGGUGAGAACAUCCUCCAUAAGACUUUUUUUUCUUUUAUUUAUAUAAUGAUUUUUUUUUCCAUUAUAGCUGGUUUAGUGUUCUGUCAAUUUUCUGCUGUACAGCAAGGUGACCCAGUUACACAUA